UCGUUAUUAUUCUAAGACAAACAGAAGAAUGCCCAAGUGCGAUGUGUCAUUAAAAGCGCUUCUUGUAUGAACUUUGAGCUUUCAUCCCUUUGUGACCUUUAGAGCAGCAUAGUCACAAAUUGUUACAAAACAGCUUACAUUGUACAUUCUUCACCGGUGUUCACCUUUGGCUGUAAGCUCCUGGAAAUGUUUAAUACUGAAAUGAAGAUGUACCUAAAAGUAACGGGAUAAUAUAUCCUCGCGUUUUUAGAACAGUUCUUCUCAACUGGUGGGUCGAGUGCUAAAUUACAGACUGUCGUUAGAUCCAAAUCCAAUUGAGUACAUUUGGAAUUGCAGGAAUGAGAGUGCUGCAUCAUUGCAACUUGCAAGUAAUGUUCCUCUUACCUCCUUUUGCUACAUGUGUGAAAAUAUUUUGAACUGCUCCUAGUAUGACGUACAGUAACGCUUAGUAUUACAAUAACAAACAUUGUUGAAUUAAUACCUUGAAGGCAGCAAUCAAAACCGUGCAUUAUCUUGCCAAGCCAGUUAUUUUGAUACAGCUCUGACCUCAGUGCUCAUAUCAUAAAAACAAUACAGGCAAUUGUCAAGCAACCAUCAGCACUAAGAAAGCUGCAGCUGCAAAACAAAACAA